CCCUUAGAUGUCCUGGACCGCGCGCGCGCUACAAUGAUAGCUUUAAUGGGUUAAUAAACCUAAGCCGAGAAGGUUUUGGGAAAUCGUUAAAAGUAUUUGGUUUUCAUAGUGGGGAUCAACUAUUGUAACUAGUAGUUGUGAACUAGGAAUUCCUGGUACUUAGAUUUCACCAGAAUCUAGGGAUUACGUCCCUGCCCUUUGUACACACCGCCCGUCGCUACUACUGAUUGGACGUUUAAGCGAGGUUCUCGAACUGCUAGCGACUUAGCUUCGGUGAGGUCGCAGUGUGGGAAGUGAACCUAGCUUUGGUGUCUAGAGGAAGUAAAAGUCGUAACA
rnacentral:rRNA from 1 species